rnacentral:lncRNA from 1 species
AAAGACCAUAAAAAGGGCAGUUCAGCCCCUGCUUGCUCUCUUACACCUUUGUUCUCUCACCUCUCACUCACUUCUCUCACUCCUCUCUUCCCCCUCCUUUCUCUGUCUUCUCCUCUCUCUCUCCUCACUCUCUCUCUCUCUCUCUCUCUCUCUCUCUCUCUCUGUCUCUCUGUCUCUGUCUCUCUCUCUCUCUCUCUCUCUCACUCUUUCUACCUUCUCUCUUUCUCCCUGCAUUUCUAUAAUAAAUCUCUUAAACCAUACAGAUUCUCUGCUCCAUCAAUACCCGCUGGGCACCCUGCCCAGAACCCAGUGAAUGAAAUAAUGCUCCCAUAACAUGACUCAUCUUUCUUCCUCAGUGUAAUUGUGUCUAUAGACUGCCG